rnacentral:rRNA from 4 species
UAGACCUCAAAUCAGUCAG